rnacentral:rRNA from 1 species
ACUCAAAGGAAUAGACGGGGGCCCGCACAAGCAGUGGAUUAUGUGGUUUAAUUCGAAGCAACGCGAAGAACCUUACCAGGUCUUGACAUCGGAUGCAUAGCCUAGAGAUAGGUGAAGCCCUUCGGGGCAUCCAGACAGGUGGUGCAUGGUUGUCGUCAGCUCGUGUCGUGAGAUGUUGGGUUAAGUCCCGCAACGAGCGCAACCCUUACGAAUAGUUGCUACGCAAGAGCACUCUAUUGGGACUGCCGUUGACAAAACGGAGGAAGGUGGGGAUGACGUCAAAUCAUCAUGCCCCUUAUGACCUGGGCCACACACGUAAUACAAUGGCGGUAAACAGAGGGAAGCGAAGCCGCGAGGCACAGCGAAUCCCCAAAAGCCGUCUCAGUUCGGAUUGCAGGCUGCAACCCGCCUGCAUGAAGUCGGAAUUGCUAGUAAUCGCGGAUCAGCAUGCCGCGGUGAAUACGUUCCCGGGCCUUGUACACACCGCCCGU